UGAUUUUUGAUAUUUUUAUAAUUAUAUUAAAUGAAAAUAUUGUUAAUUUAUUAUUUGAUUGUUACCGUAUUUGGUAGUUAGUCAGUCAUAAGUCACCCGCAAACGCACUAAUUUUCAACCGCAGUACCAGUCGUACAAAUCUCUUAAAACCGCUAAAAACCGCAACAGCCCGCAUCCACAAACUCCCGCAACCGCAACCGCUGCAUUUGAACUAGUCAGACCCUUAAUCCUUAAAAUCCAUAAAUAAAGACUAUUUCUUAGUGAAUCCUUGCACUAUUUGUGGGCCCCCACGACAUGUGGCGAUCCGUGAUUGGUUGAUAUUUUUUUUAUCUAAAUAAAAUAAUAAUAAAAUCAAAAUACAUUUUUUCUAAGAACUCCUCUUUGGGUAACACCAUUGCGGGUGUGCUCUAAGACGGCACAAAUUUCUUAAACCUUUCUUGAAAACGGACCGCGAGCACAUCUUCUUAAAAACAUUUAUAGUCUUUUCCCCGCAUUUUCAGCUCUCUUUCGAUUUGUUCCAUACAUGGCCAAAGAUCGGUCAUGGAAAUUAAGGGGCUAUGUACAAUUUAGAUUAAAAUGUUAAUAAAUUUUGGUUUUAAUAUUUUGGAGUUUUAAACUUAUAUUAUUAAUUCUUAAAAAAUUGGGAUCGUAUGUCAAUGUUUGAUGUAGCUAUGUCGAGUCUGGUUCUAUACAUGGCUACAUAAUCGUUUUAUAAGUUUUUGAUGGUUAACACUUAAACAAUUAAGAAACAAGAGAAUUUAAUAUCAAUCAAUAGCUAAAUCUUACAACAAAUUAACAAACUUCUAAUCAUUUUUAUGAAUCUUAUUUCACUCGAGUCCAACUUUUGAAACACAACACUAAACAAUAUCGAUCAGUAGUUUUCUGGCAUGCUCUGGCAUUCGAUCUCCGUGUGUGUUGGCGCCGGAGAUCUCUCCCUCCUCUCAGUUUUUCAGUUUUCCUUUGUCUCGCUCCCUUACUUAGCCUUGUCGCCGAUAUGUCCAAAUCUCUGGUGAAACUUUGAAGCUGGAACCCUAGAUAUUCCUCGGGGCUGAUUGAUCUGGUGGUUAAAGUUCAUUUAUGGAGCUUCGACAAGGCGGCAGUGGUCGUAAGGCAAAUGGAGUUGGCUUUUGAAGAUGAGGUUUCGACGAAUCGUCGUUUUCCUCUUUGUAGAUCAGUUGUUGUCCUUGGCAAUGGUAGCAAGGGUAGGUAUUGAAUCUCUUCUUCGGUUUUCUCCUUGUUUUGUUAUUAUGAAGUUUUUUUUGAUGCGGAGAGGAUUUAUUUGCUCUUCUUCAACUGAGGCUUGGUGUCUUAUCUCGGAAUAAGGUCCAGUUGAAGCUCAAGGGAGACGUAUGUUACUCACUGUUGGUGUGUUCACGGUGGUUUGUGGUGGUCAUGUGGCUGUCAUGACCCUGUCAUUCUUCCUGGGUAGCUUACAACUUGCGGAUUUGUUCUGUCGUUUAUCGUAGAGGAAAUUUCUCUCUGGCGGUAUCUCUCCGUUUGCUCGUGAUCCUCAUGUUUGAUCUCAAGUUUCUCCAGCUUUUCAUGUAAGGCGUGUCUCUUCUUCUCCAAAUCGCGUUUGCUCGUGCUCCUCAUGUUUGGUCUCAAGUUGCUCCAACCUUUCGCGAAAGGCGUGUUUUUUCAUCUUCAUCUCUUCAGUGGGUCGAAAUUAGUUUCGCAAAGUGAAUUGGAUUACGUUCUCUAGUUACAACUAAGAUGUCGUGUAGCAGCUCGAAUUUAGUUAGUCUGGCCUGUUUGCGACUUGGAGACUUGGGUACAAAAUGGUAUUUCCAGUUUCAAGGAGUUCAUUUGAUUCCUUGACAGGUUUUUCUGUGUUUUUUACCAGGUUAUGAAGACUCUUGAAACUGAGGAGCCACCAUUGUAUUAUGUACUUGUUUGGAGGUAAUGCAAUUCGUUUGUUAUCUUGACUAGCGAAGUUAUUGCAUUCCUCACCCGAUUGUCCGGUGUCUUUUCGUAGAUCGAGUCGGUUACAAUGAUGAUGACGUCAUCGAGAUCCAACUGCUCCGGCAUGAAGAAAAUAAGACCGCAGCAAUCUCUUUUUCUUGAGAAACUGCUGGCAACAAUCAUGUUAAUUUUACUUUUUCGGAUUACUCCUACUACGGCUGAAAACGUUGAACGAAUAUGUGGAAGCCAAAACUGGCUAAUAAAUUGCGCAUGUUAGGUUUGUGUAAAGAGGUUUAGUUGGAGAAGAUCUAAGGGUUGUUUUUUUCAGAUUCAAAGUUAUAACUGACGUAGGAUUCCCGGUUCAGACCGAUUUUUAUAAUUAUAAUAUAUAAUAACAAAAAAACACUAACAUACAUAAGUAAAAGAUAUAGAGAAGACAUAUCAUGCAUACUAUUUUAUUUCGUUUUCAGUAAAUGUGGUAUUUUAACAUUUUACACCUGGCUGAAAGAUGUAAUAUUCGUCGGUCUGAUUCUAGUGUGUAACAAACAGAAGAAAAACACAUGUAUGAACAAAAACUCUAUUAUGCAAUUGCAAAACAAAGUUAAUCUAAUACUAUAAAGAAGACUUUGUCUCUCUCCUUAGAGAGACACGUCAUCAAAUCGUUUCUUCUGGAUGCGACACGUGUCAUGAUAACCAAUCCGCUGCGUUUCAUUAAUAGAUGUGUGCAAUCCGUUUGGGCCGGGCUUCGUGUGAACUUCUUACAGACCAGUCCGUUUAUCAUCUCAGCCAGCAUGAAACGCCGUGUUUUCCUUAAGGGUUAGAUCCUGUGUUCUUCUUCACCUCUCCGGAGCUCAUGGCGAUGAGAGUUUCUCAAUCGAUCUUUCAUCUUCUUCCUCAUACGAAACGAUACCAGUUACCGAAUUCUCUUAAAACCCUCAAUUAAUCUAUCACCCACUAUCCAUAUUCAAUGCGGGGUCUUAUUCUGAAAGGCGGUUUAAGUUCAACUAUAAAAAGACGGGCCGAUCCUACUCCACUGUUCAAGUCCGGUUGCUCCGUUUCUGGGAGGCCAGGAAUGUCCGCCGUGGUGGAGAGCUCAUGGGAGUUGAUAUGCUCCUGCUGGAUUCUCAGGUCUCUUAUUUAACUCCGCCUUUUGUUCUCCUGAAUCCAUAUUACAAAAAGGUCAGUCUCAUGCCUUGAAAUUUAUCAUUUCAAUCUUCUCGAUCAUUUAUAGAGCUAAGCAUAUGAUUCACUGAUUCGCUUUUCGUUGUCGCAUGAUUUCUUCGGGGUUAAGAUCAGGUAAUUAACGGAAGGUGAGAGAUAAAGAUGGCUACAGGAAAGGAUCAAAUGCAAGGUUCGUCUGCAUCUAUUAAGUGUGACAGAAAGAGUAAGGAUGACGUGGUAUAUUGGAAGUGUAUCAAUGAUGAAACAGUCAUCUACAUGAGCUAUGGUUCUGUUUUUGACCAUCCAAUAUAUCCACUGCAUUUGGUAAUACUUGCUUAUUUUUCCAGCUUUCAAAUGUAAUCCUUGAUUUUAUUGUGCUGAGCUUUUGUAUGCCUUUAGAUACAGUGUUUUGGCCUUGCAAGUUGUAAGAAGGAGGUGUACGAUCGAUCAAGGGGUGAAUGAAGUUGCUCUCUCUGUUGUUAGUGGGGUUCUUUGUAAGGCAUGUUACUGAAACGAUAGAGCUGAAGAAAGAUUUAACAGUUAAGGUACAAGAUUUUCAUUUCAAAAACACUGUGCUUGCAUUCGCUGAUGGAAAGCUUUAUUUUCUUUUGGUUAUUGUAAUCUGGCGGCUGGGGUUCAUGUUUGGUUUUAAACAUGUUUAUGACAUCACAUGAACAAUUUUUCAAUCAAACCUUGAGAAAGAUCCACAAAAGAAGGUAAAUGGCUCAGACUUUCAUGUACAUUGCCUACUAUCGAGUGUCUCUUUAAUCAUCCAUGUUUAUCUGUUAAUUUUAAUUUGUUGAUGUACUUACCAACCAAGAAAGCCAUGAAUAAAACUUAAAUCUGGAUUUUCACUUUGCAGAAGAAUGUGGAUCCUCAACGGCAUGGUGGUGAGUGCACAUGAAGUAGCUUAAGCAGUGAUAUACUUAGGAGGAUCCAUUGUGGUAUUUGAAGGUUAGAAUGCUGCAAUUUACCAUUGUGGCAUAUGGACAAUGAGAUAUGGAAGUAAUUCGGAUAACACAAGUACACAUACACACUCUUCCUUUUCCUGUUCGUAGGAGUGUGUAUUGAAGAAAGAAGCACUCCAUUACAUUUAAUAACACAAGUACACAUACACACCGCCUAUAUAAUAAAUUGUGUUCUAUACACAAAGUAGAUGUCUGAUUAUGUGUUUGUGUGACACUGAGAUUCUCAUUAUGAUGAUCAGUUGAGAUGAUGUUCAAGUUUCUUUGUAACACUUUGAAUUUAUCUUGGGUAAGAAAUAUAUAAUAGAUAUUAAAAGAAUAAUAUUAUGAUUCUAUUUAUCUUUGUUGUUGAAUGGAAACAAAAAAGUGGACAUGAUUCUUGAGAAUUGAGUCAUUUUCUUAUGACAAUUACACCAUACACUACUAUAGAUUUCAAUUGCGACAACCCUUGCAGUGAUAUGUUCGGAGGCGGGAGGCAGAUGUGUUUCUUCCUAGAGACCAUCACCGCACAUGUUCAGGUUGCUUUAGGCAGAUGCACUGUUGAAGAAGGACCAGUGCCAACAACAGAGCAUACAGUCAAGAAGGCUUUAUGAUACUGCUAUUUACUCGCAUGCUUUUGAUAUCUAUUAGCUGCUAUAUUUUCAAAUUAUUCGAACAAUAGUGCUACCUUAAACAUAUUCCAAUCAUAUUGUUUUUUAAAGCUAAUUUUGGUCAAUUUGUAACACAAUAAAAGCCAACAUUUUUAAAACCUAAAACAAUGUUUCUUCCUCCAACAGUCGUAUCAGGUUAACCCAACAAGAUACAUAACCACCCAUCACUCCGGACUCUGCAAGGAUAUACAUCGAGUUUUAAAAAGUUACUGAUCUCAAAUACACGAGUUUGGCAAAUAAUCAGCCGUUUUCCCCCUUACAUAUUCACAUCUCAUUCUCCAAAAUGUUACUAAUAACUAAAUAAUUAAGAUCCUCAUUACAAAAACAGAGUCAGAGACUGGACCAAAGAAAUCAUUUUUGUGUUCACUGAAUAUAAAUAGUUGACGAAUUCUCAAUACAAAUUGGAACCAAGACGUUGUUGUAUCGUAGCAUUUUGGUAAGUUAAAACGAGUCUUUGGAAAGCAACGCAAGAAUCGUAGUCAAAAUACAGCUUAUUUAUACACAUUUGUAAACACUCUUUUCCUAUAUUUCAGAAACUUUAUCUAUUUUCAGCACUUUAAUUAAAUACAAUUUUCCUUACAUAAGCUUUAUAACUAUUUAAAACAUUAUUUGAUUUCAAAAAUUAUCUUUAGAAACUAAUUAUAUGUCUUUUGUUUAUUAAAUACUUAAAUGGAUAUUUUAAUAAAUUAAAAACCGCUUUUUCAUCAAAAAUCUAAACGAAUAGUAGAUUUAAUAAAUUUCUAUUACUAAUAUUUCAAAUAAGAAUCUUAUACUAAAUUAUAUUAAUUUAAAUAUGUGUAUAAGAUUAAUAUAUAUGAAUCUAUAAUAAAGAAAAGAAAUAAUUGUAUUCAAUAACAAAACACAAUCAAUAUAGUAAAUAUAUAAUUAAAUAUUGUAAAGAUUAUAUAUUAUAAGCUAGCCAGUAAUAUUUAUUUUAAAUAACAUGGUUAACUUUGUUUUAAUAUAUGAUAAUACAUAUAAUAUUCUAACAAAGAUGUAUAUGUAUAAAGAGUAACAAUAGUUUCAUACUUUUCUAUUUAACUAUCUUAAAAUAUUUUUAGUUAUAAUGAAUAAUUUAUUUUUUUAUAUCGUGAAAUCCUUAGAUUUUUAAAAUGUAUAAAAAAAUAAAAAUAAGUUUUUUUUACAAUUUUAUAAUAAUUAGACAAGUAUAAUUUCUAAUAUGAACAGUUAAAAUUGCUGUAAAAUAUAUGAACUUUAGUACUAUUUUUAGUUAAAAGUAAAUUAAAAUUUUAAAAUAAAUUGACCGAAAAACAUUUAAAAUAAAUUUGUAUUAUUUGUUUUUUACUUGGUCACAUGCCCGUAGGGCGGGUUUACCCUAGUUUUUUAUAUUUUGUAGUUUUAUAUAAACACCAAAAGUACAUUUAUUUCACUGCUCUCUUUAAGAAGAAAACCCAAUCAUUUUACUACUGUAAAGCAAAAGUAAAAUAGUAACAGUUUUGAUCCAAAACAAAUAGUUACAUUUAAUUUAACACGGAUAACGUGUACAGUGCAACAAAAUAAACGUGAAAAAUCAACCUACACAAAAGAAGAAAUACACGUGAAAAAA